UUGCAAUAGCAAGCGCCAGAGCUUGGUCGAGCGCGGGGGAGAAGGGAAAGCUGCUACAUGGUUAUGUAGACAAGGGCUUGAACGGAUCACGGCAGACGUAAGCUGACGAGGUGGAGGUGUUCGAAAUGUUCGGCGGGGACCUCCCGGUGAUGCACCAGAGCCGUAAAUGGAGACGGAAAAUGGAAGGGCGACCUUUCACACAACGUUUUCAUGGGUGCAUAA
rfam:Paenibacillus sp. FSL H7-0737, complete genome.